rnacentral:rRNA from 1 species
ACGGAGGGUGCAAGCGUUGUCCGGAAUCAUUGGGCGUAAAGAGUGCGUAGGUGGUAUGUUAAGUCUGGGGUUAAAGCCCAAAGCUCAACUUCGGUUCGGCACUGGAUACUGGUAAACUUGAAUGCGGUAGAGGUAGAGGGAAUUCCUGGUGUAGCGGUGAAAUGCGUAGAUAUCAGGAGGAACAUCGGUGGCGAAGGCGCUUUACUGGACCAUUAUUGACGCUGAUGAACGAAAGCGGGGGGAGCAAAUGG